UUUAUAAAUUGACACACCGACCAAUUCCUUCCCUAUAUAUUUUGGCCUCAGUUCUCUGUUUUAUUAAGAACAUCUCCAAUUAGGUUUUUCUUUUGCAUCAUUCUUUCAUCAUUUCUCAAGUAACUGUCAUAAAUCAAUGCUUUCGGUGUCGACGGUGCUGCUGUAACUGGUGUCAUCUCCGCCAGAGUUGUCUCAUAUUCCAUUGCCUUGUGGAGCGGGUUGCUGCCUUUACCAUUUGGGACUGGCCAUGAGACAUACAUAUCUACACGAAUUCUGAUAUGGAUGCGAUGUUUUCAUUAAUAAUUUGAAAAAAUGAAUUAAUUGUAUUUGAUCAAAAUGUUGAUGUCAUUAUUAAAUUCUGUUGGUUUUUUAAGACAUUAACUUGUAACAUUUUGAAUAGCACUGGCUUAAUCAAAUGUGUGUUUCUAUUUUGUUAGUAUUAGUUGGUUAUAGUUGGUGUCCAAUGUUUGCUUAAUGUUGUCAGUUUUUGUUAUGAUAAAUUGGUAUGCGAUUAUUGAAAAAUUGUUACCUUCAAUGAUUUUCAAUAAAGAAAACAAAGCAAUGCAAUUCCAGUUUUUUUCUA